CCUGUUCCCAGGGGCGUUGCAGGUGUGGCUGCUUUGUCUAGUGUUCCUUAGUAGGUGGGAGAGAGGAGAGAGGCUGUCCUAUGCUCAGUGUUCUGACUAAGAACAUCUCAAUGAUUAGCAGCCUAACAUU